ensembl:lncRNA
UAUCAGCCCACAGCAGGAUGAAGUAUUGUUUAACGCUUAAGAAAAAUUAACCAUAUUUUUGAAAUCGUGCCUUAAAAGUCUGUGCAGGGUAAAGCAGAAAGCCAGGAGAGCUGGCUUAGUUUGUUUAACCCUCAGCCUGGGAGCAGUUCCACUGAAGUCAAUGGCAGUGGUCGUGCAUGUGAUGUCUCGCCAGGCUCUGAUCUACCUCUGCCUCAGUGACCUUCCACCAGGAGAGAAGCCAGCAUUCAGCCUUUUGAGGAAAUACACUCUCCACACUUGCACCAGCCAAAAGUCAAGUCAUUCAGAUUACUAUGAGUGCGCAAACUGUUUCUAACAGGGAUUUGUUUUGUAAGUUCCAGCAGAGGAGAAGGAACAUGGCUGUAAUCUCUGGGAGGAACCCUGAUCCACCAUCACAGCCUCGGUGCAGCCUGGACAUGGGCUUUUAUUGCAACAUAUUCCCAGGAUUGCUAAGUUUCUCAAGGGAGCUCAACCAAUUGCAACGAUGAAGUUGUCUUGGCCUUAUCCUGUUUUUCCAUCUUGCAGUGAAUGUAACUUCAUAAGGCUGAAUCUAAUUUAUUUGCCAC